AACAUAAAAAUAUUCGACAAAUGAGUUAUUGAUCAAGAAACAUUAUACUACUUUUUUGUUGUAUUUAAUCAUCAAAUACACAAAUAUAUUAGUAUAUAUUUUAAACAAUUUUCCCAUUUAUAAAAGAAGACGAAAAAUUCAAACACAUACAUAAAGCCAAAGAUAAACAUAAUUAAGUUGUGAGAUGGCAGGAGUAAAGUUGCUAGGAUUUCAUUGAGCCCUUUUAGUCGUAGAGUUGAGUGGGCUCUCAAGAUUAAGGGUGUUGAAUAUGAAUUGGUUGAAGAAGAUUUACAUAACAAAAGUCCUCUACUUCUUGAAUUGAAUCCAAUUCACAAGAAAAUUCCAGUGCUAAUUCACAAUGGAAAGCCAAUUUGUGAGUCAAUGGUGAUUGUUGAAUACAUUGAUGAGACAUUUGAAGGUCCUUCCAUCUUGCCUAAAGAUCCUUAUGAUCGAGCUAUAGCUCGUUUUUGGGCUAAGUUCUUUGAUGAUAAGUGCAUGCCAGUAAUGGGGAAAGCUAUAUUUGGUAGUGGAGAGGAGUCAAACAAAGCUAAAGAGGAAUUGGGUGAUUUAAUAAAGAUUCUUGAAAAUGAGCUAAAAGACAAGAACUUUUUUGUUGGUGACAAAUUUGGAUUUGCUGAUAUGGCUGGAAAUUUGAUGGCAUAUUGGAUGGGAAUUGUUGAAGAAGCAUCUGGAAAUAUUUUUGUGACAAGUGAAAAAUUUCCAAUUUUUUGCAAUUGGAGAAAUGAGUACGUUAAUUGUAGUACAAUCAAAGAAUAUUUACCGCCAAGAGAUGAAAUACUUGCACAUUUCAAAGCUCGUUUUGCAGCUGCCCAAAAAUAAAAACUUUCUACUUAGUGAUUUUUUUGAGUUUUUAUUUUGUGUGGCUAUUAAAACUACCUUAUGUUAGUAGGUAGUAUGUUGUUUCUUUGUAAGUUUGUUUAUGAGUGCAUGUGAGUUGUAAUUUCUUUCGAGCUAAUAAAUGAUAGAGAGACAUCUUAUUGUAUUUACUUUUCCCAAUAGUAGUUGAGUUUGGAAACAAAA